rnacentral:rRNA from 1 species
ACUCCAUGAAGCUGGAUUCGCUAGUAAUCGCGCAUCAGCCACGGCGCGGUGAAUACGUUCCCGGGCCUUGUACACACCGCCCGUCAAGCCAUGGAAGCCGGGGGUGCCUGAAGUGCGCUGCCGCGAGGAGCGCCCUAGGGUAAAACCGGUGACUGGGGCUAAGUCGUAACAAGGUAUC